rnacentral:misc_RNA from 1 species
GCGUAGGGGAAUGACGGGAUAGUAGGGAGGAGGCGGCGUCGUCCUCAGGCGUUGCGACGCCCGCAGACCCAGGAUCUAGCAGCUUCUGAACAACUCCAGGCGCAGAAGCCGUUCGCACAUCUUUUUUUGGUUUUUUCUAAAAGUCCGCAAAAAGAAAUCCAUCAACCAUGGACGCGAUCAAAAAGAAAAUGCAAGCUAUGAAGCUUGAAAAAGAUAAUGCUGCGGAUAAAGCGGACGCGAUGGAAGGCCAAUACAAGGAUGCCAAUGCCAGGGCGGAGAAGGUCAAUGAAGAAGUGCGCGAGUUGCAAAAGAAGCUCACUCAAGUUGAGCAAGACCUCGUAACCACCAAGAAUAACCUCGAACAAUCCAACAAGCUUCUUGAGGAUAAAGAGAAAGCUCUCACCAACGCUGAAUCUGAAGUCGCCGCUUUGAAUCGUAAAGUCCAACUUAUUGAGGAAGAUUUAGAGCGAUCUGAAGAACGUUUAACAACUGCCCAAACCAAACUUGCCGAAGCUUCCCAAGCUGCCGACGAAAGUACUCGUAUGUGCAAAGUAUUGGAAAAUCGUGCCCAACAAGAUGAAGAGCGCAUGGACCAACUCACCAACCAAUUAAAAGAGGCCCGUCUUCUCGCUGAAGAUGCCGACAACAAAUCCGAUGAAGUAUCUCGUAAGCUGGCCUUCGUUGAAGAUGAGUUAGAAGUCGCUGAGGAUCGUGUAAAAGGCGGUGAUGCCAAGAUCAUGGAAUUGGAGGAAGAGUUAAAGGUUGUAGGUAACUCUUUGAAAUCUUUGGAAGUAUCGGAAGAAAAAGCCAACCAAAGAGUUGAAGAAUUCAAGAAGCAAUUGAAGACGUUGACCGUUAAACUAAAGGAAGCUGAAGCUCGCGCUGAAUACGCUGAAAAGACGGUGAAGAAGUUGCAGAAGGAGGUUGAUAGGCUUGAAGACUUUGUACAUAAGGAAAAAGCUAAAUAUCAAGGAGUUCUUAAUGAUAUCGACAAGACAUUCGUUGAAAUGACUGCGCUUAGUAGUAACAAAUAGAAAAGCUAACACUGCUGCCAAAUUAAACCAAAAAAAUUAAUUUCUUUAGUUUAAUAUUUAAUUUUUAAUGUUCUCCUAUUAUUUUUUAGUUUUUAAUUUUUUUUGGCUGCUUCUUUUAUUUUGCUUCUUCAAAACUUAAGAUGAAUUGGGUAUCAAUAAAGAUAGAUACAAGUCUUUGGCUGAUGAGAUGGACUCCACCUUCGCCGAAUUGGCCGGCUAUUAACCCAUUGAAA